AGGCUAUUUCCCAAUGGUAUCUUUCUGAAACUCAGUGUACAUGUUUGCACUCCACAGAUUGAACAGCAGGAUGAUUAAUGCCCACAAGGGGGAAUGGGACAAGACUCCCAGAAGAUAUGAGCCUUUCUCAGUUGCAUAUGGAGGAUAGGGACCAGAUGACCUGAAGUGACAGACCUAUGAAGUGGUGGCUGAGGAACCCUUUGAGUGAUAAUAGCUGAUGACAAGAGUGGCAGUGCCUAUACUUGGAGCAGAGAGAUAUAUCAAGGAUAGAUGCACAAGGAGCAAAAACCAGCCAAGGAAACUUUGGUUCACAACCUUAAUCCUCAUCAAAGACAGGAUUUAAAAUGCC
rnacentral:lncRNA from 1 species